GAUGAACGCUGGCAGCGUGCCUAAUACAUGCAAGUAGAACGCUGAAGGAAGGAGCUUGCUCUUUCCGGAUGAGUUGCGAACGGGUGAGUAACGCGUAGGUAACCUGCCUGGUAGCGGGGGAUAACUAUUGGAAACGAUAGCUAAUACCGCAUAACAGUAGAUGUUGCAUGAUAUCUACUUAAAAGGUGCAAUUGCACCACUACCAGAUGGACCUGCGUUGUAUUAGCUAGUUGGUGAGGUAACGGCUCACCAAGGCGACGAUACAUAGCCGACCUGAGAGGGUGAUCGGCCACACUGGGACUGAGACACGGCCCAGACUCCUACGGGAGGCAGCAGUAGGGAAUCUUCGGCAAUGGACGGAAGUCUGACCGAGCAACGCCGCGUGAGUGAAGAAGGUUUUCGGAUCGUAAAGCUCUGUUGUAAGAGAAGAACGAGUGUGAGAGUGGAAAGUUCACACUGUGACGGUAUCUUACCAGAAAGGGACGGCUAACUACGUG
rnacentral:rRNA from 1 species